rnacentral:rRNA from 1 species
CGGUAAUACGUAGGGUGCGAGCGUUAAUCGGAAUUAGAUAGUAUGAAGCGUGCGCAGGCGGACCACCAAGCAAGAUGUGAAAUCCCCGGGCUUAACCUGGGAAUGGCACACAGAACUGGCGAUGAGUAGUGUGUCAGAGGGGGGUGGAAUUCCACGUGUAGCAGUGAAAUGCGUAGAUAUGUGGAGGAACACCAAUGGCGAAGGCAGCCCCCUGGGAUAACACUGACGCUCAUGUACGAAAGCGUGGGUAGCAAACAGGAUUAGAUACCCUGGUAGUCCACGCCCUAAACGAUGUCAACUGGUUGUUGGGGGAGUGAAAUCCCUUAGUAACGAAGCUAACGCGUGAAGUUGACCGCCUGGGGAGUACGGUCGCAAGAUUAAA